rnacentral:rRNA from 1 species
UACAGAGGGUGCAAGCGUUAAUCGGAGUUACUGGGCGAAAGGGCGCGUAGGCGGUGAGAUGAGUGUGAUGUGAAAGCCCCGGGCUUAACCUGGGAAGCGCAUCGCAAACGAUCUGACUGGAGUAGAGAAGAGGGUGGCGGAAUUUCCGGUGUAGCGGUGAAAUGCGUAGAGAUCGGAAGGAACGUCAAUGGCGAAGGCAGCCACCUGGUCUCAUACUGACGCUGAGGCGCGAAAGCGUGGGGAGCGAACAGG